rnacentral:rRNA from 1 species
UAGUCCACACCGUAAACGAUGAAUGCCAGUCGUCGGGUAGUAUACUAUUCGGUGACACACCUAACGGAUUAAGCAUUCCGCCUGGGGAGUACGGUCGCAAGAUUAAAACUCAAAGGAAUUGACGGGGCCCGCACAAGCGGUGGAGCAUGUGGUUUAAUUCGAUGCAACGCGAAAAACCUUACCUACCCUUGACAUCAUUGGAACUUGUUAGAGAUAACUUGGUGCCUUCGGGAACCAAUAGACAGGUGCUGCAUGGCUGUCGUCAGCUCGUGUCGUGAGAUGUUCGGUUAAGUCCGGCAACGAGCGCAACCCACAUCCUUAGUUGCCAGCAGUUCGGCUGGGCACUCUAGGGAAACUGCCCGUGAUAAGCGGGAGGAAGGUGUGGGAUGACGUCAAGUUCUCAUGGCCCUUACGGGGUUGGGGCUACACACGUGCUACAAUGGGCAGUGACAAUGGGGUUAAUCCCAAAAAGCUGUCUCAGUUCGGGAUUGGGGGUCUGGCAACUCGACCCCAUGAAGUCGGGAA